rnacentral:misc_RNA from 1 species
GUUUGGAUUUAUUUAGCCAAUAGGCCAAUUUGUUUUGAAUGCUUUGAUUUAAUGAAACAAGCAUUAGUUAAAUGCUUUUAAUGGUAUUAGUAUAAUUUAUUAAAAUGUUGGCUGUAGUAAUGAUUUAGUUUUUUUCUCUUUAGUUUUAGCACAUUGCAAAUUUAUAAUAUUGGAACUUUAGAUUAUUGUUGAAUUGUUAUAGUGAAGAAAUUAAAGUUUAAUGUGUAUGUUAUCAAAUAUUUUAGAUUUUUAUUGCAUAUUUCAAAUCUUGAUAGAUUUUAUUAAAAAUGGAUUAUUUAGGACAAUAAAUAAUUUCUUAUUAACCUACAACAUCCGAAUCUUCAAAUCCCCGAACUGAAAUAUCUAGAAUUUUCAGGACAAUACAGGAUGGAGUUCUGAUGUCA